AUUGAACGCUGGCGGCAUGCCUUACACAUGCAAGUCGAACGGCAGCACGGGAGCAAUCCUGGUGGCGAGUGGCGAACGGGUGAGUAAUAUAUCGGAACGUGCCCAGUCGUGGGGGAUCACGCAGCGAAAGCUGUGCUAAUACCGCAUACGAUCUACGGAUGAAAGCGGGGGAUCGCAAGACCUCGCGCGACUGGAGCGGCCGAUAUCAGAUUAGCUAGUUGGUGGGGUAAAGGUCCACCAAGGCGACGAUCUGUAGCUGGUCUGAGAGGACGACCAGCCACACUGGAACUGAGACACGGUCCAGACUCCUACGGGAGGCAGCAGUGGGGAAUUUUGGACAAUGGGCGCAAGCCUGAUCCAGCAAUGCCGCGUGCAGGAUGAAGGCCUUCGGGUUGUAAACUGCUUUUGUACGGAACGAAACGGCCCUUUCUAAUACAAGGGGCUAAUGACGGUACCGUAAGAAUAAGCACCGGCUAACUACGUGCCAGCAGCCGCAGUAACAC
rnacentral:rRNA from 1 species